AGACGGAGGGGGCUAGCGUUAUUCGGAAUUACUGGGCGUAAAGGGCGCGUAGGCGGAUUAGUAAGUUGGGAGUGAAAGCCCGGGGCUUAACCUCGGAACUGCUUUCAAAACUGCUAGUCUUGAGUGAAGUAGGGGGUGAUGGAAUUCCUAGUGUAGAGGUGAAAUUCUUAGAUAUUAGGAGGAACACCGGUGGCGAAGGCGGUCACCUGGACUUCAACUGACGCUGAGGCGCGAAAGCGUGGGGAGCAAACAGGAUUAGAUACCCCAGUAGUCC
rnacentral:rRNA from 1 species